UUGGAGUAGUUGUACAGUAGGAAGACCACUUAAAAAUACACUUAUAUGAAUGGACAUAUCCAAGUCUAUGACAUGCUUCGUUCUACAUUUAUUAUGUUUUUGGCUGUGAUAUUGCAUCAUUAUUGACCCUUUCUUUUUCUGUUGUCCAUUUAUAUCUGCCAUGCCUCAUUUAAGUGUUAACAGCCAUCAAGAUGUGGUCUUCUUGUUUAAAAUGAUUCUGUGGCAAAUUUUAGAUGUUAGAAAAGUUUUGCAGGCGAUGUAAAAUGAGUGAGUCUCUUAGAUUAAUAUAGGGUAAAAUUUGUCCACCUGAGUAGUGCAUUAGAACUCUUUUUAAUUGAUGUUAGAAGUAUUAUAAUACUAUGUAUAAUGAGGAAUAUUAUAGUGCUAUCUAUAAUAUACUACAUUGUGUAUUGCAUUUCUUUCCAGAAUCAUUGGACACUCAGCAAUGAAAGUUGCUGUAGUAGUAUAUAUUGGUAGUAAUACACUACCAUUAAAGAAUGACCACCAGAAAAAAAAGGACUUUGGAAAAAUGAUUUUUUGAUGUUUGAAUAUCAUAUAUUCUUGAACUUUUAGGUCAUUUGAAGUUUUAGAAUAUUUCUUCCAUAAGGGAAAAUAGAAAUUAAUAGGCAAGAUAUGCUGUAAUGCUUCAGUUUUGUUAAGACUGAUAUCAAGAAAGAAAUUUGAUUAUGAUAGUUCUGCAGUAUGUCUCUGUGUAUCUUUUUCUUCCUUUGCAAAUUAUGUUUGUAAGAAGUUUUUGUAUCAGUCUCUCUGAUGAGAAAAAACAUGAAUGAAAUUAAUAAUUUUGCAUUUCUAAGAUCUGUAAUCAAUGUUUCAAAAUCAAAGGCAAAUUGAAACAUCUGUUACUCAUCUUGCAAUGAAAAAUUAUUUGUUAUUUAUUUAUGCUCUUCUCUAGAUUUGUCACGAUAAAGUUUUUCAUUUCUUGUUAAUAUGUUUGAUGUUGGGGGGAAGGGAUGGGUGCCUUAUUCAACUCAUCCAGUGAUGUUGAAGAACUACACAUGUUAUUUCUGCAUUAAUGCAAGGAUAUUUUUUUGACAAAAGAUGAAGAUACUGCUCACAAACUCAGAACACAGAGAGAAACUUCUGGUGGAGAACCUGUCGUUGAUAAAGUAA